GAAAUGCGAUAAGUAGUGUGAAUUGCAGAAUUCGGUGAAUCAUCGAAUCUUUGAACGCACAUUGCGCCCUUUGGUAUUCCAAAGGGCAUGCCUGUUCGAGCGUCAUUUGUACCCUCAAGCUUUGCUUGGUGUUGGGCGUCUUGUCUCUAGCUUUGCUGGAGACUCGCCUUAAAGUAAUUGGCAGCCGGCCUACUGGUUUCGGAGCGCAGCACAAGUCGCACUCUCUAUCAGCAAAGGUCUAGCAUCCAUUAAGCCUUUUUUUCAACUUUUGACCUCGGAUCAGGUAGGGAUACCCGCUGAACUUAAGC
rnacentral:misc_RNA from 1 species